CCCGACCGCUAUCGGGGUAGGGCUAAGCCAUGCGAGUCGCGCGCCCGGGGGCGCCCGGGAGCGGCGCACGGCUCAGUAACACGUGCCCAACCUACCCUCGGGAGGGGGACACCCCCGGGAAACUGGGGCCAAUCCCCCAUAGGGGAAGGGCGCUGGAAGGCCCCCUCCCCGAAAGGACGGCGGCCGAUCCGCCGCCGCCCGCCCGAGGAUGGGGGCACGGCCCAUCAGGUAGUUGGCGGGUUAAAGGCCCGCCAAGCCGAAGACGGGUAGGGGCGGUGAGAGCCGCGAGCCCCGAGAUCGGCACUGAGACAAGGGCCGAGGCCCUACGGGGUGCAGCAGGCGCGAAUACUCCGCAAUGCGGGCAACCGCGACGGGGCUACCCCGAGUGCCGGGCGAAGAGCCCGGCUUUUGCCCGGUCUAAAACGCCGGGAGAAUAAGCGGGGGGCAAGUCUGGUGUCAGCCGCCGCGGUAAUACCAGCUCCGCGAGUGGUCGGGGUGUUUACUGGGCUUAAAGCGCCCGUAGCCGGCCCGGCAAGUCGCUCCUGAAAUCCCAGGGCUCAACCCUGGGGCAGGGGGCGAUACUGCCGGGCUAGGGGGCGGAAGAGGCCGCCGGUACUCCGGGGGUAGGGGCGAAAUCCGUUAAUCCCCGGAGGACCACCAGUGGCGAAAGCGGGCGGCCAGAACGCGCCCGACGGUGAGGGGCGAAAGCCGGGGGAGCAAAGGGGAUUAGAUACCCCUGUAGUCCCGGCCGUAAACGAUGCGGGCUAGCUGUCGGCUGGGCUUAGGGCCCGGCCGGUGGCAAAGGAAACCGUUAAGCCCGCCCCUGGGGAAUACGGCCGCAAGGCUAAACUUAAAGGAAUUGGCGGGGGGCACCACAAGGGGUGAACUUGCGGCUUAUUGGAUCAAC
rnacentral:rRNA from 1 species